AUAUCUCUCCGUACGGGAAGGAUGAGAAGCUUCGACUAAGGUUCGAUUCGAGCGCAGCGAGAACGCGUUGCCGCAGGCAACGACCCGAAGGGCGAAGCGCGCAGCGCU
rnacentral:sRNA from 7 species